AACGAAUAUUAAAUUUUGGAGUGUUAGCGCUCGUCUCGGAGAGUUAGUUGAAAGAAACGGAAAGCUGGUAUCUGUCUCUUAAAUUCUCUGUUUUUUGCUUAACAUAAUUUUUUGUUUUAUUUUUAUCUUCCCCAUUUCUCUCAAUUUCUACUGUAGGUUUUCUUCUCUACAUUACUGAUAUAGACCCUGCAAAUUCUUCUCCCGCUCUUCAUUUCAACCCUUCUUCAUGUGCUUUCAAAAAGGCUCUUGUUGCUUUAUAAUUUACUGGGUUUCUAGCUGGGUGUUGAGAUUCUAGUGUUUCAUGAUAUUGAAUUUUUAUUUUUGGGGAAAAAGUGGGGUGUCAGAGGUAAAACUGAAGUGAUUGAGUGAAGGAAUUAGAAGAAGAGAUGUACAUAUACCGAGGAAAUGCAGGAAGGUGAAGUCGUGUGGGGGGUGACAGGCGUAGAUGCGAGAUGAUAUGGAUGGUUCUUGCAGUAGCCUUGCAGUUUUGGAUGCGAAACGAGUUUUGGCAGGAGCAGGGGCUCGCCGCUCGCUCUCUUUUUUAUCCAACUCUCUUCUAAAAUGUUGUGAGGAACAAGAUUCAAUCAGAGUUUCGGUGGUUGGAUAGAGUUGAUGAGAUUUACCUUUUCUUCCCCCUCUUUUUUGCUCAUUUCCUGCUAUGAUAAGAUGCAGUAAACUUUCUAAUUGCACUUUGAAAAGUGAAAAAAAAAAAAAACCUAAUUCCCAGUGUAUCCUAGUUCCAUUAGCUGUACUAUUACACUGUGUAACUAAAAACAUGACCGACCUUGCAUUGUGUGGUUAUGUUACAAGUUAUGUAUCAAAUCUUGAAGUAGAAAGCUUUGGGUUUUUUCUUUUUUAAUGAUGUAAGGUGUAAAAAAAAUGGCUUACCAAUUUCCUAGCCCUUACCUCUUCUUCACUCUCUGUCCCUAUGUUCUGUUUAUCUUGUUAGGUGCUGUUCCCUUUCCUACUGAUGUUCCUUGCUUAAAGGCACUAGGCGUUUCUGGGGUUGUUACCUUGAAUGAGCCAUAUGAGACUUUGGUACCAACAUCACUAUAUCAUGUGAGUUUAUGCAUCCCUUUUGGAAUUUGAACGUCAUAAAUAUUGAAAUAAAUCAGUGGUGGAAGUAUGGCAUUGAUAGUAUCACAUGCGCCAUUAAGAAAUAUAUUCUCCAUUGGGUUUUGCUGCCGCCCACAUCAAACUUAGAUUGGGUUGAAGUUAGAAUAGUUUGCUCUUUUAAGUCCUCCUUUUAAGGGAUCUUUUCCUUUUUUAUUUUUUAUUUUUUAUUUGGGGACAGUUGGUUGUAUGGUCUCCAAACAAUUUGCUUGCUCAAAGAGCCAAUGGUGGUUGUAGCAGCAUCACAUAUGAUUCUGCUGUCCAAUUUUUUUGAUCACAAACACACACAAAGGCAUGCAUGUAAGCGUGGAAGUGUCGCUGAAUGCUCAUAUAUUUGUCUUGGUGAUUCCAAUUCAUUAGGCUCACAAUAUUGUUCACUUGGUGAUUCCAACUAGAAACUAUCUGUUUGCUCCAUCAUUUGCUGAUAUAUGCCAGGCUGUAAAUUUCAUUCAUGGUAAGCAUAUUAUCAAUCUUCCUUUCUGCUUUUGAUUGCAACUACAUCUUUGUUGUUGUUGUUUUUUUUUUUUUAAUACAAACUUUCAUUUACGAUUUUAAUGUUCAUUUGUUUGUUAUUAAUAUUCUUCUCUCUAUUUGUGUUUGUGUUUUUCUUUUGGUUUCAACUCUUUGAAGAAUAUACCUCCCAUGGAAAGACAAUAUAUGUUCACUGAAAGGCUGGUUGAACACAGGCACGACUCCCGGUGCUGCAUAUGGAUAUGUAAGGUCCAUUAGGCCGAGAGUUCUUUUGGCUUCUUCCCAGUGGCGGGUAUGUAUGAUUUUGACCUUACAUUUCUUUGUUUGCUUAUUUUUGCGUGCUCUAUUUCUUUUGAACAACAAAUGUGGGAAUUUUCCCGUUAUGAACUAAAAAUUGAUGCUUGAAACGUGAGGUUUCGAAAUGUGUUGACUAUAUCAUCAGUGAGUUCGCAGAUAGAUGCAUGUCUUCAAUGACUUGAUACUUAUAGCAUAGUUUAAAAUAAACAAGUUUAAUUUGUGGAAGAAAUGAAAAUUGUUUUCCUAUUGCAAGUUAUUUUCUUCUCCAUUUUGAACUUAAAUUAAAGUUAAUUGAUUGAACAACUGACAAAGGAAUUCUAAAUGUGAAAGGGCAUAUUGUUUUUUUUUCCUUUUCAAAUGUCUAUUUCCAGUCCUUUCAGGAUACAAUAAGAUACAAUUUUUCUUUAUGCAUUAGUUUUAUUGACCAUUUGUACAAAUCUGUGUCUCACUACCCUUGUCAGUACCCAAGGAUCCCUUUCGGUGGAUGUGUCGACUUAAUAUCCUGACAAUUCGCCUAUGCCUUCCAGAACCACAUUCACCUAAUUGCUUCUUUGUGGAUCUGAUUACAGUCAUGCCAUUAACUCCAUCUCAAGUGUUCUUACAGAACAUCAAACAGCACCUUCAACUCAGUCAAGGCAUUCAAGCAUUCUCCGGCUAUAUCGGAAAAUUUCUUAGUUAUGGGUGACAAGUCCGGCUGCCCGUUCCUAAAUUACUUUUGAAUUUGCCUUCAGCACUUGACCUAACCCUCCUCCAGAGGACUGAACACAAAUUGAGGCUUAAGCAAGCUGAGUUAUGAAUAGCAUUUUAAAAUUGUUGAGACCAAGUGAAUUGGAUGGAUAGUGGAUAUUUCAAUGGAGCUUAUUUUUCUCCUAAUUCUUGAAUUCAUUCUGCGGUAAUCGUGGAAAUACAGGCUUGUUCAAGGUUACUAUCUUCUCAAGGUGAAGGAAUCUGCAGCAUCAUAUCAUGGAAAAUUAUAGAUUUUCUAACACAAGACGAGACCAAACAGGACACGGGAUUGUCUGAUGAUAGCACAUUUGUGGUGGUAACGGAAUUAGAUUUUGAUGGAUAUGAUGUUGGUUGUGAAACAGGUGUAGUGGAUGACAAGAUGUGUGGAGAACUUAGCCUGGCCUACAGGGUUCAAUUUGCCAGUCGGGCAGCAAUUUCCAGACUUUCAUGCCUGUGGCUCUAGGUUUUUGUUUUUCCCUUCCCCUUAUUUUGGCAACACAGAUACAUUUCUUUCUCCCUCCUUUAUUAUGAGUUUUGCUGGUUUGUGAUUUUUCACUUC